GACAGAGGAUGCAAGCGUUAUCCGGAAUGAUUGGGCGUAAAGCGUCUGUAGGUGGCUUUUUAAGUCCGCCGUCAAAUCCCAGGGCUCAACCCUGGACAGGCGGUGGAAACUACCAAGCUGGAGUACGGUAGGGGCAGAGGGAAUUUCCGGUGGAGCGGUGAAAUGCGCAGAUAUCAGGAGGAACACCGGUGGCGAAGGCGGAUCUCUGGGCCUGUCCUGACGCUGAGGCGCGAAAGCUAGGGGAGCGAACAGG
rnacentral:rRNA from 1 species